GGAGGCGUUCUGGACAGGGGUUCGAUUCCCCUCACCUCCACCA
rnacentral:tmRNA from 1 species